AGUAAACUUACCGCAACACCACGUUUUGCAGUUUGAUCCCCAUAUUUGCUAGUUUUCAGUUUGCGUCUCAAUGCAAUAAACAUUUCGGAAUUUCCAUGGAUGAAUUUACUUAGUUUUUAAAUGAAAGGAUACUUUAUAUGGUUCUAUGUCACCACCUCACUUACACGUGUGCUCAAUUUUUUAAAUGAAAGGAGAUUGGUUGUCCUCACUUGAUUUUCCAGACAUCCUCUUUUCCUAUCUAUCCAUUGGUCAUUUCGAACUGAA
rnacentral:lncRNA from 1 species